rnacentral:tRNA from 1 species
AGUCCCGUAGCUCAGUUUGGUAGCAGCGCCACCCUAAUAAGGUGGAGGUCGCAGGUUCGAUCCCUGCCGGGACCA